rnacentral:tRNA from 1 species
AGUACUGAAAAUACUUAGAUGGGUCACGCACCCCAUGGACA